rnacentral:rRNA from 1 species
UACGGGGGGGGCAAGCGUUGUUCGGAAUUACUGGGCGUAAAGGGCUCGUAGGUGGCCAACUAAGUCAGACGUGAAAUCCCUCGGCUUAACCGGGGAACUGCGUCUGAUACUGGAUGGCUUGAAUUCGGGAGAGGGAUGCAGAAUUCCAGGUGUAGCGGUGAAAUGCGUAGAUAUCUGGAGGAACACCGGUGGCGAAGGCGGCGUCCUGGACCAACACUGACACUGAAAAGCGAAAGCCAGGGGAGCAAACGGG